GUAGGGAAUCUUCCACAAUGGACGAAAGUCUGAUGGAGCAACGCCGCGUGAGUGAAGAAGGUCUUCGGAUCGUAAAACUCUGUUGUUAGAGAAGAACGUGCAUGAUAGUAACUGAUCAUGUAUGACGGUAUCUAACCAGAAAGCCACGGCUAACUACGUGCCAGCAGCCGCGGUAAUACGUAGGUGGCAAGCGUUGUCCGGAUUUAUUGGGCGUAAAGGGAACGCAGGCGGUUUUUUAAGUCUGAUGUGAAAGCCUUCGGCUUAACCGAAGAAUAGCAUUGGAAACUGGAAGACUUGAGUGCAGAAGAGGAGAGUGGAAUUCCAUGUGUAGCGGUGAAAUGCGUAGAUAUAUGGAGGAACACCAGUGGCGAAAGCGGCUCUCUGGUCUGUAACUGACGCUGAGGUUCGAAAGCGUGGGUAGCAAACAGGAUUAGAAACCCCUGUAGUCC
rnacentral:rRNA from 1 species